rnacentral:rRNA from 1 species
AGUCAACAUGCCCAGGGGACGUGGAUAACCUCGGGAAACUGAGGAUAGACCGCGAUAGGUCAUCACUUCUGGAAUGGGUAAUGACUUAAACCUAUAUGGCCCCUGGAUUGGACUGCGGCCGAUCAGGCUGUUGGUGAGGUAAUGGCCCACCAAACCUGUAACCGGUACGGGCUCUGAGAGGAGGAGCCCGGAGAUGGGCACUGAGACAAGGGCCCAGGCCCUAUGGGGCGCAGCAGGCGCGAAACCUCUGCAAUAGGCGAAAGCUUGACAGGGUUACUCUGAGUGAUUUCCGUUAAGGAGAUCUUUUGGCACCUCUAAAAAUGGUGCAGAAUAAGGGGUGGGCAAGUCUGGUGUCAGCCGCCGCGGUAAUACCAGCACCCCGAGUGGUCGGGACGUUUAUUGGGCCUAAAGCAUCCGUAGCCGGUUCUACAAGUCUUCCGUUAAAUCCACCUGCUUAACAGAUGGGCUGCGGAAGAUACUAUAGAGCUAGGAGGCGGGAGAGGCAAGCGGUACUCGAUGGGUAGGGGUAAAAUCCGUUGAUCCAUUGAAGACCACCAGUGGCGAAGGCGGCUUGCCAGAACGCGCUCGACGGUGAGGGAUGAAAGCUGGGGGAGCAAACCGGAUUAGAUACCCGGGUAGUCCCAGCUGUAAACGAUGCAGACUCGGUGAUGAAUUGGCUUAUUGCUAAUUCAGUGCCGCAGGGAAGCCGUUAAGUUUGCCGCCUGGGGAGUACGGUCGCAAGACUGAAACU